rnacentral:lncRNA from 1 species
CACGAGUUUGGUUUCCUAAAUUGGACAACAGGGAGAGCCAGUACAGCUUCAGCCAGCUCAGUUAUGGGAAGCUAUUGUGGCCUUUUAACUACCGUAUCAGACAAACUCCAAUUCCAGUAAUAAACUAGGUGCUGGAUUCACUCUACAUCCAUGGAAAAUUUUCAUUUUAAGAAACGGUGUUUGGAAUACUCUGCUGGCACUUCAAACUCCACGGCUGAGUUUAUCAAAUGAGAGGCACAGGAGAUUGCAGAAUGUGAAAGAAUUGAGUGGGAGAGAAAAGAGAAUACAACAAAUGUUAAGUAUUAAAAAGGGGAUAUUCUUUUUAUUAUUUUUAUUUUUUCAUUUUUAAAGUUUUAUUGAAGUAUAGUUGAUUUAUAAGUUUGUC